AUUGAACGCUGGCGGCAUGCCUUACACAUGCAAGUCGAACGGCAGCACGGGAGCAAUCCUGGUGGCGAGUGGCGAACGGGUGAGUAAUAUAUCGGAACGUGCCCAGUCGUGGGGGAUAACGUAGCGAAAGCUACGCUAAUACCGCAUACGAUCUAUGGAUGAAAGCGGGGGAUCGCAAGACCUCGCGCGAUUGGAGCGGCCGAUAUCAGAUUAGGUAGUUGGUGAGGUAAAGGCUCACCAAGCCGACGAUCUGUAGCUGGUCUGAGAGGACGACCAGCCACACUGGGACUGAGACACGGCCCAGACUCCUACGGGAGGCAGCAGUGGGGAAUUUUUGGGACAAUGGGCGCAAGCCUGAUCCAGCAAUGCCGCGUGCAGGAUGAA
rnacentral:rRNA from 1 species